UAGAGUGUGAUCCUGGCUCAGAUUGAACGCUGGCGGCAGGCCUAACACAGCAAGUCGAGCGGAUGAAGGAGCUUGCUCCUGGAUUCAGCGGCGGACGGGUGAGUAAUGCCUAGGAAUCUGCCUGGUAGUGGGGGACAACGUUUCGAAAGGAACGCUAAUACCGCAUACGUCUACGGGAGAAAGCAGGGGACCUUCGGGCCUUGCGCUAUCAGAUGAGCCUAGGUCGGAUUAGCUAGUUGGUGAGGUAAUGGCUCACCAAGGCGACGAUCCGUAACUGGUCUGAGAGGAUGAUCAGUCACACUGGAACUGAGACACGGUCCAGACUCUACGGGAGGCAGCAGUGGGGAAUAUUGGACAAUGGGAGAAAGCCUGAUCCAGCCAUGCCGCGUGUGUGAAGAAGGUCUUCGGAUUGUAAAGCACUUUAAGUUGGGAGGAAGGUUGUAGAUUAAUACUGGGCAAUUUUGACGUUACCGACAGAAUAAGCACCGGCUAACUCUGUGCCAGCAGCCGCGGUAAUACAGAGGGACAAGCGUUAAUCGGAAUUACUGGGCGUAAAGCGUGCGUAGUGUUUCGUUAAGUUGGAUGUGAAAUCCCCGGGCUCAACAUGGGAACGGCAUUCAAAACUGCGAGAUAGAGUAUAGAGGGUGGGGAAUUUCCUGUACGGUGAAAUGCGAAGUUAUGGAUAUCAACCUUCAAAGGUGCCAUCCAUAACUUAAGUUUCUAUAU
rnacentral:rRNA from 1 species